UACGUAGUGGGCGAGCGUUGUCCGGAUUUAUUGGGCGUAAAGAGCUCGUAGGCGGUUUGGCAAGUCGGGUGUGAAAACUCCGGGCUCAACUCGGAGACGCCACUCGAUACUGCCAUGACUCGAGUCCGGUAGGGGAGUGCGGAAUUCCUGGUGUAGCGGUGAAAUGCGCAGAUAUCAGGAGGAACACCGGUGGCGAAGGCGGCACUCUGGGACGUGACUGACGCUGAGACGCGAAAGCGUGGGGAGCAAACAGG
rnacentral:rRNA from 1 species